rnacentral:rRNA from 1 species
GACGAACGCUGGCGGCGUGCCUAAUACAUGCAAGUCGAGCGCAGGAAGCCGUCUGAACCCUUCGGGGGGACGACGGUGGAAUGAGCGGCGGACGGGUGAGUAACACGUAAAGAACCUGCCCAUAGGUCUGGGAUAACCACGAGAAAUCGGGGCUAAUACCGGAUGUGUCAGCGGACCGCAUUGUCCGCUGAUGAAAGGCGCUCCGGCGUCGCCCAUGGAUGGCUUCGCGGUGCCUUAGCUAGUUGGUGGGGUAACGGCCCACCAAGGCGACGAUGCAUAGCCGACCUGAGAGGGUGAUCGGCCACACUGGGACGGAGACACGGCCCAGACUCCUACGGGAGGCAGCAGUAGGGAAUCUUCCACAAUGGACGAAAGUCUGAUGGAGCAACGCCGCGUGAACGAUGAAGGCUUUCGGGUCGUAAAGUUCUGUUGUAAGGGAAGAACAAGUGCCGCAGGCAAUGGCGGCACCUUGACGGUACCUUGCGAGAAAGCCACGGCUAACUACGUGCCAGCCGCCGCGGUAACAC